rnacentral:rRNA from 2 species
AACGCGAAGAACCUUACCAAGUCUUGACAUCUAACUGACGUAUGGGUAACGCCAUAUUUCCUUCGGGACAGUUAAGACAGGUGGUGCAUGGUUGUCGUCAGCUCGUGUCGUGAGAUGUUGGGCUAAGUCCCGCAACGAGCGCAACCCCUGCCUUCAGUAGCCAGCAAGCAAGAUGGGAACUCUGAGGGGACUGCCCAGGAUAACUGGGAGGAAGGCGGGGAUGACGUCAAAUCAUCAUGCCCCUUAUGAUUUGGGCUACACACGUGCUACAAUGGCGUAAACAAAGGGAAGCGAAAUGGAGACAUGAAGCAAACCCCAGAAAUAACGUCUCAGUUCGGAUUGUAGUCUGCAACUCGACCACAUGAAGCUGGAAUCGCUAGUAAUCGCGGAUCAGAAUGCCGCGGUGAAUACGUUCCCGGGUCUUGUACACACGCA